rnacentral:rRNA from 1 species
UACGUAGGGUGCAAGCGUUGUUCGGAAUUACUGGGCGUAAAGGGUUCGUAGGUGGCUCGCUAAGUCACACGUGAAAUCCCUCAGCUUAACUGGGGAACUGCGUGUGAGACUGGCAAGCUCGAGUGCAGGAGAGGAAUGCGGAAUUCCAGGUGUAGCGGUGAAAUGCGCAGAUAUCAGGAGGAACACCAACGGCGAAGGCAGCACUCUGGGCCGGUACUGACGCUGAGGGAGCGAAAGCGUGGGGAGCAAACAGG